GUGAGGAAUAUUGCGCAAUGGAGGCAACUCUGACGCAGCCAUGCCGCGUGCAGGAAGAAGGCGCUACGCGUUGUAAACUGCUUUUAACCGGGAAGAAACCCCAGGACGUGUCCUGGGUUGACGGUACCGGAGGAAUAAGCACCGGCUAACUUCGUGCCAGCAGCCGCGGUAAUACGAAGGGGGCAAGCGUUAUCCGGAUUCAUUGGGUUUAAAGGGUGCGUAGGCGGAGCGUUAAGUCAGUGGUGAAAUCCUGCAGCUUAACUGUAGACUUGCCAUUGAUACUGGCGCUCUUGAGUGCGCUUGAAGUGGGCGGAAUGUGCCGUGUAGCGGUGAAAUGCUUAGAUAUGGCACAGAACACCAAUUGCGAAGGCAGCUCACUAAGGCGAUACUGACGCUGAGGCACGAAAGCGUGGGGAUCGAACAGGAUUAGAUACCCCGUGUAGUCC
rnacentral:rRNA from 1 species